CCGGCCUAGCUCAAUUGGUAGAGCAACUGACUUGUAAUCAGUAGGUUGGGGGUUCAAGUCCUCUGGCCGGCACC
rnacentral:tRNA from 1 species